rnacentral:rRNA from 1 species
UACGAAGGGGCUAGCGUUGUUCGGAAUCACUGGGCUUAAAGCGUGUGUAGGUGGAUUUGUAAGUACCUUGUGAAAUCCCAUGGCUCAACCAUGGAACUGCUCGGUAUACUGCGAAUCUUGAGCCACUUAGGGGCUACCGGAACAAAUGGUGGAGCGGUGAAAUGCGUAGAUAUCAUUUGGAACGCCAAUGGUGAAAACAGGUAGCUGGGAGUGUGCUGACACUGAGACACGGAAAGCCCAGGGGAGGCGAACGGG